AGCAGUAGGGAAUCUUCCACAAUGGACGAAAGUCUGAUGGAGCAAUGCCGCGUGAGUGAAGAAGGGUUUCGGCUCGUAAAACUCUGUUGUUAAAGAAGAACACUCUUGAGAGUAACUGUUCAGGAGUUGACGGUAUUUAACCAGAAAGCCACGGCUAACUACGUGCCAGCAGCCGCGGUAAUACGUAGGUGGCAAGCGUUGUCCGGAUUUAUUGGGCGUAAAGCGAGCGCAGGCGGUUUCUUAAGUCUGAUGUGAAAGCCUUCGGCUUAACCGGAGAAGUGCAUCGGAAACUGGGAGACUUGAGUGCAGAAGAGGACAGUGGAACUCCAUGUGUAGCGGUGGAAUA
rnacentral:rRNA from 1 species